ACUCCUACGGGAGGCAGCAGUGGGGAAUAUUGCACAAUGGGCGCAAGCCUGAUGCAGCCAUGCCGCGUGUAUGAAGAAGGCCUUCGGGUUGUAAAGUACUUUCAGUGCAGAUGGAGGAAGGUGGGUAUGUUAAUAGCAUACACAUUUGACGUUAGCUGCAGAAGAAGCACCGGCUAACUCCGUGCCAGCAGCCGGCGGUAAUACGGAGGGUGCGAGCGUUAAUCGGAAUUACUGGGCGUAAAGCGCAUGCAGGUGGUUUGUUAAGUCAGAUGUGAAAGCCCGGGGCUCAACCUCGGAAUUGCAUUUGAAACUGGCAAACUAGAGUACUGUAGAGGGGGGUAGAAUUUCAGGUGUAGCGGUGAAAUGCGUAGAGAUCUGAAGGAAUACCGGUGGCGAAGGCGGCCCCCUGGACAGAUACUGACACUCAGAU
rnacentral:rRNA from 1 species